rnacentral:lncRNA from 13 species
CUUCCGGCGGCGGCGGGCAGCGCGUGUGGGAGCGAGCGGGCGGCGACUGUUUACUUCCGGCCGCCGGGGCUGAGGCCGAGCGCGUCGGGCGGCGGGCGCGGCGGCCCCGCGCAGCCAUGGACUGGCUCAUGGGGAACUGCUUGGAGCCUGCCAGGGAGGCCCAGGGCCCUGUCCCAGCCGUGUUUUCGCUGGGGGCAGCCUUGCCUCAGGCCCGUCUAGGGUCUUCCACAUUCUGACGGGCUGUGCCUGCCUUCAUCGUGAGCAACUUGAGUGAUAGCACCUUGCCUCAGACUGGCAGAGUGGCGCCAGUGGCCUGCAGUCUCAACACGCACGUGAGUUCAUGGCACCUGCCUGCGCUUUUUAUUCUCCCCUGUUCUACAUGCAGUGUCUACUUGUUAAGGACAUUUUGAGGGGAAAACCGGUUUACUUCUUAAAACAGAGGGAAAUUCAACCUUAGCCCUGUGUUCCAUCCUGAAGAAAGUUCUAAUGACAG